rnacentral:rRNA from 1 species
CCUACGGGAGGCAGCAGUGGGGAAUAUUGGACAAUGGGCGCAAGCCUGAUCCAGCAAUGCCGCGUGGAUGAAGAAGGUUUUCGGAUUGUAAAGUCCUUUCGGCGGGGACGAUGAUGACGGUACCCGCAGAAGAAGCCCCGGCUAACUUCGUGCCAGCAGCCGCGGUAAUACGAAGGGGGCUAGCGUUGCUCGGAAUGACUGGGCGUAAAGGGCGCGUAGGCGGACAUUUUAGUCAGACGUGAAAUUCCUGGGCUCAACCUGGGGGCUGCGUUUGAUACGGGAUGUCUAGAGUUUGGAAGAGGGUCGUGGAAUUCCCAGUGUAGAGGUGAAAUUCGUAGAUAUUGGGAAGAACACCGGUGGCGAAGGCGGCGACCUGGUCCUUGACUGACGCUGAGGCGCGAAAGCGUGGGGAGCAAACAGGAUUAGAUACCCUGGUAGUCCACGCUGUAAACGAUGUGCGCUGGAUGUUGGGUGACCUAGUCACUCAGUGUCGUAGCUACGACGGUAAGCGCGACCGCCGUCGGGUAGGUACGGCCGCGAACGGUUAGUAACGUACAAUAGAAGUUAGUACGGCGUGAGACGUCGCCGACGGACGACGACGAGGGAGGUAGG